rnacentral:rRNA from 1 species
GACGAACGCUGGCGGCGUGCCUAAUACAUGCAAGUAGAACGCAGUUGCGAACGGGUGAGUAACGCGUAGGUAACUGCCUCAUAGCGGGGGAUAACUAUUGGAAACGAUAGCUAAUACCGCAUAAUGUGAGAUGGACCUGCGUUGUAUUAGCUAGUUGGUGAGGUAAAGGCGCACCAAGGCGACGAUACAUAGCCGACCUGAGAGGGGGUGCGGCCACAGUGAGAGUGAGACCGGGCCCAGAGUGCUACGGAAGGCAGCAGUAGGGAAUCUUCGGCAAUGGACGGAAGUCUGACCGAGCAACGCCGCGUGAGUGAAGAGGGUUUUCGGAUCGGAAAGCUCUGUUGUUGGAGAAGCGGUACCUAACCAGAAAGGGACGGCUAACUACGUGCCAGCAGCCGCGGUAAUUC